GAGGUGUUGUAUAACUCUGGUGCUUUUGAUGGUGUAUCAUCGUCAUAUGUGGGUAAAUUCCGACUGGGGAUGGCAUGUUGUUUCAAUCUCCUUCUCUUGGUUCCGCAUAUCUCAGAAAAUUCUGAAAAUUAAAUGAAAAGUAAUGACUCAUGAUCCCUGUGGUGGUGGAUCAUGAAAUGAAAUCAUGAAAUCAGAAAAUGCAGAAGAACGAGAAAUAUCGAGCCAGAAUCAACUGAGAACACAAAAACAAAUAAAAAACAGCAAAAGAAAUAAUAACAGCCCACAAACAAUUGGAGAAGUCUUCGAUGAGCAUUUCUUUUCAUUUCCUACAAAUAUUAAGAAUAUUUUAUGACAUAACAACCUUUUUAGACUUCCAAUGUCAUUGUGAAUUGAAAAAUAAAAAAUGAUAACAAACAACAAAGAAAUGAAGACAUCCAGAUCGACAACCACUUUGUCACAGCUCCCAACAAAUUUGUCAUCAAAUUCCAAAGCUUUCUGAAUUUUUCCCAAUAAACCAAAAGGUUUGACGUCAGGAAACAAACGAAAAAAUAAUGUAAAAAUAUAUUUCAAUAAGUCAUGAAUAAAGCUUCAAAAAAUAACAUUGAAAAAAUCUGAAAAAAAAUUCCAGAGAUGAGAUUUUGUCUCUUUACCACUGCAAAAAUCAUUGUCAAUUUUUUAUGAGGUCAUAACUGAACGACUAGACGACUAGACAUAAAAAACCUCACCUAUAUACAAACAUAUAAGUCUGUAAAUAAAUGGUGAAGACAAUUAUAAAAACCAGAGAAAACUCACCUGGAAAUUGGAAAUCAGAAGACGUAAAAUGAGAACUACACACUCGUGAAUACUUUAAUAGCUUCGUGGGUUUCAACAGUUCAAUCCACUUUUCACGUAUAUCAAUGUCAACACGAGUUUCGAGGUUAUUUGAUGUAACAAUAGAAUACUUCAAGUUUGGCUGUGGAAACACAUGGAAGCUCAACUGUGGGGCAUUGAGCGAUGUGUUAUGACAUCCGUCAACGCAGCAUUUUCUCGUAAUUAUUUUUUUUUGCGUUUUUCUGGUGCUUUCAAUGGAGAGUUCAGCCCCUGGAGUAGCCAUGGUCUGAGCUGAUGGGCAGGGCAGGGUCUGUCAACGUUAAAGUCUGAAUAACACUGAGGGAUUAGAUCAGAAAGGUGACUCAGCGUCCUCAUGGGUACGUGAAAUACCCACAUCAAGUAAUCUUAUGGCCCUGACGAUGUCACCAGGACGACAGUGGCGCCAUUGAAACUAUUCACCCGGUAAUUUUUGAAGGUUUCUAGUUGUGGAACUCGAAAAUCUGGUCGGAUUGGGCCCUAAGUCCUCUAGGACUCCGGAGUAUUUGAAGGAAAUGUAGACGAAAACUUCGGUCAUUCAAUUUAUUAUCCUAUAUAAUUUAUUAAACAAUUACCAGAUCACACAUUUCUCCUUUGGAUUCAUUUUAGAGCCCACAGGACAUUGGAAGUCCUCGAAAAAUUCGAGGGAAUUCGAUAGUGGUCCCAGGACACGAAAUUCGCUGGGACUGUGAAUAUCAUUAUUGAUGUGUUGCUUGAGGGUCUCAGGCUGGUGAACACUGCACCAUGUUUGGGCUAAACUUAUCCAGAACAUUUGUUGUGGAGUGUAGAAGAGCCCUGGGAGCAUUAACUCCUGCUGAUUACGUGAGGACCAAUCUUUGUGAUGAAUCAUCUCGUGCCCAAUGAUGCUGCCAAUGGCACCAUAGUUCAUGUACUUUGGACGAUCAUUGUUGACGAAGGGAGACUGAAGAAUCGCAGCUGAGACCUCUGAAAAAUUGUCUCACCAAUAGUUCAUCAAUUGCUUACGAACAUUCCUGAUGGAACCAAUGACCACUCGAGGCCCUAGGGAUUUUUAGUCACAUUGGAUUGUCGUCCGAGGGGAACGUAAGGACCGAUAUCUCACACGACCAAAAAUCCCUAGGGGACUGAUCAUGAAGGAUAUUUUUCCCUAGUGAUUUUCACGUUUUCGAGUUCGAGAAAGGGCCAGUGCCAAUCCCAGAACGAAAAAGAAUCGUUCUCAAUCCAAUCGGCCGUUUGGGGAAUCUGCAUCAAUUGAUGCUUGAUGUACUGCACCAUUUCCGCAACAUUUUCCUUAUUUUCCUCGAGAAAGUGGUGUUUAACAUAAAGAGCUUCAACCCCUACAGGUCCAAGAUCGCUGUGGUGCAGUUAGGGAUCAUGACGACUUGAUUAUCGUUUAGUUCAAUGCCAGCCCCAUUUUUGAUAAAGAGAAACCAUUUCCAGGGAAUUCCAGGAAUUUCAUUCUCCAGUUUGUUC